GUAUUAUGACAGUGUCUGACCAAUCAAGUGCAUCAGUUUCGUUUUUCACUUUCAGCCAAUCAGAGCUGCGGACGUCAGGUCAGUCGCGUGAAAGCAGGUUUGCUGGUUAGGAGGAUACAAUGUUCAAAUUCGCCGUCUACUACUUAUUUGAUAAAACACUUAAAGUGGAAAGUACGUCGCUCAUUCUUGGCAGCGACCAGUUCACCCAAGUGGCAUCCCAGCCGGACCUUGAUGACGACGCGAACUGGAUUGAAAUAAAAAGGCCCACGAGAGAAGAACCAAACAGGACGGUGCCUGCUAAGGUGCUGUUAUUUGGAGAUUCCUACAAAGAACUUGUGCCGAAGAAGAAUUUCUUCCUUCUCGGUAAGGAUAUCUGGGCCGAGGAGGAAAGCAGGGGUGUGCGCAUGAAAAAGAAAAUCUGUGAGACCGACGUAGUGAAGCCUAAAAGGCCAUACAGGCAAAGCAAACCAGGAUUAAAGAGGCAGCCAUGGACCAGGUGUUACAAAACCUGA
rnacentral:lncRNA from 15 species